rnacentral:misc_RNA from 1 species
GCAAACUUGGUCAUUUAGAGGAAGUAAAAGUCGUAACAAGGUCAUCGUAGGUGAACCUGCGGUGGGAUCAUCAAUAAUUCAUAUAAACCACUUAUAUGGUGUGAACUAGUGCUGAAUUUGUUAACGAGGUUUCGAGUGCGUUUUCCCUAUCGUUUCGAUAGGGAAGGCAAGCUUGGGCUUCAAUAUUUCUGAGUGUCUCUUCGGAGGCGCUCAGACAACCGCACUUAACAGUGUAUUUUAUGGCCAACAACAAAUGUCUAUACGGUCAGCUCGCAAGAGAAGGCUAGACAAAAUUUAUAUGUAAACCACGCUGUCAUGGCAUGGAAUAACAAUAUAAAACUAUUAAUGGUGGAUCACUUGGCUCUCGCAUCGAUGAAGAACGCAGC